GAGAGAGUGGUGUAGUGUUUCAGCAUUGGACUAUGACUCUGAGAUCAGAGUUCGAUUCCCUGCUCAGCCA